rnacentral:rRNA from 1 species
AAUCAACGCUGGCGGCGCGCCUAACACAUGCAAGUCGAACGAGAAAGUGGAGCAAUCCAUGAGUAAAGUGGCGUACGGGUGAGUAACACGUGGAUAAUCUGCCCUUUAGUGGGAAUACCGUUGGGAACCGACGACAAUACCGCAUAAUCUCGAGAGAGGAAAGCAGCAAUGCGCUGAAGGAGGAGUCCGCGGUCGAUUAGCUAGUUGGUGAGGUAAUGGCNCACCAAGGCUGUGAUCGAUAGCCGGCCUGAGAGGGCGACACGGCCACACUGGCACUGAACACGGGCCAGACUCCUACGGGAGGCAGCAGUGGGGAAUCUUGCACAAGUA